rnacentral:miRNA from 1 species
AAUCAUACAGUGUCCCUAGGAGGAACAUGUCUUGUCAUCCCCGCACUGGGGAGGCUGAGGCAGGAGGAU